rnacentral:rRNA from 1 species
CAGCCGCCGCGGUAAUACGUAGGGGGCUAGCGUUGUCCGGAUUUAUUGGGCGUAAAGAGCGUGUAGGCGGCCAGGUAGGUCCGGUGUGAAAACUCGAGGCUUAACCUCGAGAUGUCAUCGGAAACCAUCUGGCUAGAGUCCGGAAGAGGAGAGUGGAAUUCCUGGUGUAGCGGUGAAAUGCGCAGAUAUCAGGAAGAACACCAAUGGCGAAAGCAGCUCUCUGGGACGGUACUGACGCUGAGACGCGAAAGCGUGGGGAGCGAACAGGAUUAGAUACCCUGGUAGUCCACGCCGUAAACGAUGGGCGCUAGGUGUGGGCGGUGUCGACUCCGUCCGUGCCGAAGCUAACGCAUUAAGCGCCCCGCCUGGGGAGUACGGCCGCAAGGCUAAAACUCAAAUGAAUUGACGG